ensembl:processed_transcript Gm4258 predicted gene 4258
GCAGAUAGUACGGUGGAGCAGGGAUGCCUGAGCACAAGUAGCGAGUUCCGAGUGACUUUAGGAAAUGCUUCCCCCCCUUCCUGGGCAUGCAAACAAGACUCUGCACCUGCACCGCAGUUUGUUCCGGAGAGAAGCCUCGGCUUCGCCCUGCAGGGACGAGGAACUAGAGCAAGAAGCAGCAUUUGAAAAUUGUAAGUAUACAUUUCUUUCCGUCAAGUGCGCUGAUUAAAAUAGUUUUCUGCCAGAAGCCCCAAAUACUCGAAGAUUUGCCAGGGAAUCCUUUUAUGCGUAGUUUGAAAGGUAGCCAAAGGGCAGGGAACUGUACCGGGGAGCAUUUGUUGCAUGCUUUCUUCUGUGAAAGAUAAAGAAUUAAAAAGAAAAGUAAGGCUUUCUGAAGAGUAGCUGUAGGAGACUCCGCACUGGGACACUGCUCCAGCAUGCUGCUUUGUUCAUAGGGAAAAAAAAUGAAGGCACACACAUGUGUACUUAGUUCUCUUCUUUUCGCUCUUUAUGUCUAAUCAGAUUUGAUUUGUCCCCAGGAAAAAUAAAAGGCAAACUUUGCUGACUCCACUGGCUAGGGCACCCCACACUUUCCAGACAUCUGACAGUUAUUAUAAUUAGCCAUGAAAGACUGCUAAAGACACUUGGAGGCAAAAUAGCUCUUAAAUCUGAACAAUGGCUUCAAGCCAGGGCUUUCUUUUGAUUCAUUUUUGAAGUGUUUUAAAUUUUACAAUAAUGACAGAGACUGAACUGUUUUUUGUUUGUUUUUUUUUUUGUCCACAAAAUGUGAAACGAGGUCCGGGCACGAGUGACGGCAGCUGAAAGUGGCCAGUGUGGAGAAGGAAAAGACAGCUUUCUGUCUUAGGAGCCAGGCCUCCAUAUAAAGAUUUUUUUAAAAUUCCUAAUAGGGUGGGGUGAGGAUGUGGGGGGUGGGGAGGAAGCAUGCCGAAGCUUCUUCAUAGAAGAAUCCUCAAAGAAUAAAAUAAUUUAGAAUGUCUUCCUGCGGGAGGAGGCAAGGCUAUAGCUAACAUCUAAGUUGUAUUUAUGGUAAGAUUUUUUUUUGAUGGAGUUUUAAACAGAAGUGACAUUCAAAGCAGC